rnacentral:rRNA from 1 species
GCUCAACCGAAGAAGUGCAUUGGAAACUGGGAGACUUGAGUGCAGAAGAGGACAGUGGAACUCCAUGUGUAGCGGUGAAAUGCGUAGAUAUAUGGAAGAACACCAGUGGCGAAGGCGGCUGUCUGGUCUGCAACUGACGCUGAGGCUCGAAAGCAUGGGUAGCGAACAGGAUUAGAUACCCUGGUAGUCCAUGCCGUAAACGAUGAUUACUAAGUGUUGGAGGGUUUCCGCCCUUCAGUGCUGCAGCUAACGCAUUAAGUAAUCCGCCUGGGGAGUACGACCGCAAGGUUGAAACUCAAAAGAAUUGACGGGGGCCCGCACAAGCGGUGGAGCAUGUGGUUUAAUUCGAAGCUACGCGAAGAACCUUACCAGGUCUUGACAUCUUCUGACAGUCUAAGAGAUUAGAGGUUCCCUUCGGGGACAGAAUGACAGGUGGUGCAUGGUUGUCGUCAGCUCGUGUCGUGAGAUGUUGGGUUAAGUCCCGCAACGAGCGCAACCCUUAUUACUAGUUGCCAGCAUUAAGUUGGGCACUCUAGUGAGACUGCCGGUGACAAACCGGAGGAAGGUGGGGACGACGUCAAAUCAUCAUGCCCCUUAUGACCUGGGCUACACACGUACUACAAUGGAUGGUACAACG